rnacentral:rRNA from 1 species
GACGAACGCUGGCGGCGUGCUUAACACAUGCAAGUCGAACGGAGCGGCGGACGGGUGAGUAAUGCCUAGGAAUCUGCCUGGUAGUGGGGGAUAACGUCCGGAAACGGGAGCUAAUACCGCAUACUAUCAGAUGAGCCUAGGGCGGAGUAGCUAGUUGGUGGGGUAAAGGCCUACCAAGGCGCCGAUCGGUAACUGGUCUGAGAGGAGGAUCAGUCACACGGGAACUGGGACACGGUCCAGACUCCUACGGGAGGCAGCAGUGGGGAAUAGUGGACAAUGGGCGAAAGCCGGAUCCAGCCAUGCCGCGUGGGUGAAGAAGGUCUUCGGAUUGUAAAGCACUUUAAGUUGGGAGGCGUUACCAGCAGAAUAAGCGCCGGCUAACUACGUGCCAGCCGCCGCGGUAAUUC